rnacentral:rRNA from 1 species
CAAAUUUGAAAUCUGGCCCUUGGGUCCGAAUUGUAAUUUGUAGAGGAUGAUUUUGGUGCGGUAUCUUCCGAGUUCCUUGGAACAGGACGCCUUAGAGGGUGAGAGCCCCGUACGGUUGAAUGCCUAGCCUCUGUAAAUCUCCUUCGACGAGUCGAGUAGUUUGGGAAUGCUGCUCUAAAUGGGAGGUAAAUUUCUUCUAAAGCUAAAUACUGGCCAGAGACCGAUAGCGCACAAGUAGAGUGAUCGAAAGAUGAAAAGCACUUUGAAAAGAGGGUUAAAUAGCACGUGAAAUUGUUGAAAGGGAAGGAUUUAUGACCAGACUUUUUCUGGGCGGAUCAUCCGGUGUUCUCACCGGUGCACUUUGCCCAGUUUAGGCCAGCAUCGAUUUUUGGAGAGGGAUAAAAGCUUUAGGAAUGUGGCUCCUCCGGGAGUGUUAUAGCCUAUUGUAUAAUACCUUUCCGGGGAUCGAGGUACGCGCUUCUGCAAGGAUGCUGGCGUAAUGGUUAUCAAUCACCCGUCUUGAAACACGGACCAAGGAGUCGAACAUUUGUGCGAGUGUUUGGGUGUUAAACCCUCACGCGUAAUGAAAGUGAACGGAGGUGAGAGCCCUUACGGGUGCAUCAUCGACCGAUCCUGAAGUUUUCGGAUGGAUUUGAGUAAGAGCAUAACUGUUCGGACCCGAAAGAUGGUGAACUAUGCGUGGAUAGGGUGAAGCCAGAGGAAACUCUGG